UCUUGGUCUUCCCGAGUUCUCUGUUGACAAUGGCCGGACUAACUCUGAAAUAAGAGGACUUCACGGGGCUAAACAUAGCGACUAUUACCGGAUGAGUGUGCGCUGGACUCACAGUAACGUAUGCGGCUAACAAAAGACUAAAUGGUUUUUCAUGCUCACAGAUACAGACCUCAUCAGAGGAAAUCAAACCCCAGCUGGUGUCAAAAUGAAUGGCAGAUACCUUGAUUGUCUGGAACACCUGGAAGCUGCCGUUGAUCCAAAUGUAGAUGACUGAGUCGACAGUCGUGGUCACUCCAUCGAAGGCGUUCGCUACCACCAGGAAGUGAUACGGUCCUACUGUGAAGUACUCCCAG